rnacentral:rRNA from 1 species
AUGAAUGCUGGCGGCGUGCCUAACACAUGCAAGUCGAGCGGUAACAGGUCUAGUUUACUAGAUGCUGACGAGCGGCGAACGGCUGAGUAACGCGUAGGAAUGUGCCCCAAAGUGAGGAAUAAGCAUCGGAAACGGUGUCUAAUGCCGCAUAUGAUCUUCGGAUUAAAGGAUUUAUCCGCUUUGGGAGCAGCCUGCGUACGAUUAGAUAGUUGGUGAGGUAAAGGCUCACCAAGUCGACGAUCGUUAGCUGGUCUGAGAGGAUGACCAGCCAGACUGGAACUGAGACACGGUCCAGACUCCUACGGGAGGCAGCAGUGAGGAAUCUUCCACAAUGGGCGAAAGCCUGAUGGAGCAACGCCGCGUGCAGGAUGAAGGCCUUCGGGUUGUAAACUGCUUUUAUAAGUGAAGAAUAUGACGGUAACUUAUGAAUAAGCACCGGCUAACUACGU